UGGUUCAGUGGUAGAAUGCUCGCCUGCCACGCGGGCGUCCCGGGUUCGUUUUCCGG
rnacentral:tRNA from 1 species